UACAGAGGGUGCGAGCGUUAAUCGGAGUUACUGGGCGUAAAGGGCGCGUAGGCGGUUGUGUGAGUGUGAUGUGAAAGCCCUGGGCUUAACCUAGGAAGUGCAUCGCAAACGACGUAACUGGAGUAUAAGAGAGGGUGGCGGAAUUUCCGGUGUAGCGGUGAAAUGCGCAGAUAUCGGGAAGAACACCCGUGGCGAAGGCGGCUCUCUGGGACGGUACUGACGCUGAGACGCGAAAGCGUGGGGAGCGAACAGG
rnacentral:rRNA from 1 species